UACGUAGGGGGCAAGCGUUAUCCGGAUUUACUGGGUGUAAAGGGAGCGUAGACGGUGAUGUAAGUCAGAUGUGAAAGCCCGGGGCUCAACCCCGGGCCUGCAUUUGAAACUAUGUUGCUAGAGUGCAGGAGAGGUAAGUGGAAUUCCUAGUGUAGCGGUGAAAUGCGUAGAUAUUAGGAGGAACACCAGUGGCGAAGGCGGCUUACUGGACUGUAACUGACGUUGAGGCUCGAAAGCGUGGGGAGCAAACAGG
rnacentral:rRNA from 1 species